rnacentral:rRNA from 1 species
GACGAACGCUGGCGGCGUGCCUAACACAUGCAAGUCGAACGGAGAUUUUACGGAAUGCGACUUCGGUCAAAUGAAGUUUAAUCUUAGUGGCGGACGGGUGAGUAACGCGUGAGGAACCUGCCCUUAAGAGGGGGACAACAGUUGGAAACGACUGCUAAUACCGCAUAAUAUAUCUGAAUGGCAUCAUUCAGAUAUCAAAGGAGCAAUCCGCUUAAGGAUGGCCUCGCGUCUGAUUAGAUAGUUGGUGAGGUAACGGCUCACCAAGUCGACGAUCAGUAGCCGGACUGAGAGGUUGAACGGCCACAUUGGGACUGAGACACGGCCCAGACUCCUACGGGAGGCAGCAGUGGGCGAUAUUGCACAAUGGGGGAAACCCUGAUGCAGCAACGCCGCGUGAGGGAAGAAGGUUUUCGGAUUGUAAACCUCUGUUUUUAGUCAAGAAAAAAAUGACGGUAGCUAAAGAGGAAGCCACGGCUAACUACGUGCCAGCCGCCGCCGUAAGAC